UGCGGCUGGAUCCCCUCCUUUCUG
rnacentral:rRNA from 1 species